AACGAACGCUGGCGGCGUGGAUAAGACAUGCAAGUCGAACGGGACUAAAUCUGUAGCAAUACAGGUUUAGUUUAGUGGCGAACGGGUGCGUAACACGUGGGCAAUCUGCCGAGAAGUGGGGGAUAGCUCGCCGAAAGGCGAAUUAAUACCGCAUAUGAUCAGCUAAGACAUCUUAGCGACAUCAAAGCCGGGGAUCGAAAGACCUGGCGCUUCUUGAUGAGCCCGCGGCCUAUCAGCUAGUUGGUGAGGUAACGGCUCACCAAGGCUAUGACGGGUAGCUGGUCUGAGAGGACGACCAGUCACACUGGAACUGAGACACGGUCCAGACACCUACGGGUGGCAGCAGUCGAGUAAUUUUUCUCAAUGGGGCAACCCUGAAGGAGCGACGCCGCGUGGAGGAUGAAGGCUUUCGGGUUGUU
rnacentral:rRNA from 1 species